rnacentral:misc_RNA from 1 species
CGUAGACUCUUUGGCAUGGUGUUCACUGCUGUCAGUGUCAGACGAAUCGUCACUUUGAUGCCGCCUUCUAACCUUCUUAUCCUUGAAAGACAACUUUCUUGACUUUUUACCACCAGCAGUAUCAGAAUCAGAACUAGCAUGAGCCUUCUUACGGGUUUUUUUAGACUCUUUGGCAUCGCUUUCACUGCUAUCAGUGUCAGACGAAUCAUCACGUCCUCUCCUCUUCUCUUUUUUCUUAUGACGCUUACCCUCGUCCUUUUCUUUUGCCAAGUCAUUAACUUCACCCUCUUCUAAAUGAGCUACGUCAUCAUGCUUCUUCUUCUGAGUUUCGUGUUCAGCCCCUAUCUUGAGAGCAGCUUUUAAGUUUUCCAUUUGUUUUUCUUUCAAAGCAGUGAUCUGGUGUGUUUGUGUUUCCGAAACCUUUUCAUAAGUAGGUCCUCCAAAUUCCUCAGAUGUUGCCUCUAGAUUCCUUCGCGCUUCCUCGAGCUUCUCAGAGAUCUCAGCAUCAGUGUAUCCCUGAUCGGCAAGCUUCUCCUCAAGGACGAGAAGUUUGAGCUGAAUCUGCCGUUUCCGGUCAUGUUCGAGAAUGUCCUUGUUUGCUUUCCUCGACACUCCGGCAGUUCCUUGACCGGAUUCAUAACCUUUGCCGCCGUCUACAAGGACUUUGUUAGUCUUCGACUUGACGAAGAACUUGUUGGUCUGGAUGUGGCCAUUGGUGCCGGAGCCUCGCGGCGUUUGUAGGCCGAUUCCGUUGUACAUCUUCG